UACGUAGGGUGCAAGCGUUAAUCGGAAUUACUGGGCGUAAAGCGUGCGCAGGCGGUUUUGUAAGUCUGUCGUGAAAUCCCCGGGCUCAACCUGGGAAUGGCGAUGGAGACUGCAAGGCUAGAAUCUGGCAGAGGGGGGUAGAAUUCCACGUGUAGCAGUGAAAUGCGUAGAGAUGUGGAGGAACACCGAUGGCGAAGGCAGCCCCCUGGGUCAAGAUUGACGCUCAUGCACGAAAGCGUGGGGAUCAAACAGG
rnacentral:rRNA from 1 species